UACGGAGGGUGCGAGCGUUGUCCGGAAUCACUGGGCGUAAAGGGCGCGUAGGCGGCCCGGUAAGGUUGCGGUGAAAGCCCGGGGCUCAACCCCGGGUCGGCCGUGGCAACUGCUGGGCUGGAGCACAGUAGAGGCGGGUGGAAUUCCGGGUGUAGCGGUGGAAUGCGUAGAGAUCCGGAAGAACACCGGUGGCGAAGGCGGCCCGCUGGGCUGUUGCUGACGCUGAGACGCGAAAGCGUGGGGAGCGAACAGG
rnacentral:rRNA from 1 species